rnacentral:rRNA from 1 species
UACGAAGGGUGCAAGCGUUAAUCGGAAUUACUGGGCGUAAAGGGUGCGUAGGCGGUUUGUCGCGUCUGCUGUGAAAACUGGGGGCUCAACCCCCAGCCUGCAGUGGGUACGGGCAGACUAGAGUGCGGUAGGGGAGAUUGGAAUUCCUGGUGUAGCGGUGGAAUGCGCAGAUAUCAGGAGGAACACCGAUGGCGAAGGCAGAUCUCUGGGCCGUAACUGACGCUGAGGAGCGAAAGCAUGGGUAGCGAACAGG